GACGAACGCUGGCGGCGUGCCUAAUACAUGCAAGUAGAACGCUGAAGAGAGGAGCUUGCUCUUCUUGGAUGAGUUGCGAACGGGUGAGUAACGCGUAGGUAACCUGCCUUGUAGCGGGGGAUAACUAUUGGAAACGAUAGCUAAUACCGCAUAACAAUGGAUGACACAUGUCAUUUAUUUGAAAGGGGCAAUUGCUCCACUACAAGAUGGACCUGCGUUGUAUUAGCUAGUAGGUGAGGUAACGGCUCACCUAGGCGACGAUACAUAGCCGACCUGAGAGGGUGAUCGGCCACACUGGGACUGAGACACGGCCCAGACUCCUACGGGAGGCAGCAGUAGGGAAUCUUCGGCAAUGGGGGCAACCCUGACCGAGCAACGCCGCGUGAGUGAAGAAGGUUUUCGGAUCGUAAAGCUCUGUCGUAAGUCAAGAACGAGUGUGAGAGUGGAAAGUUCACACUGUGACGGUAGCUUACCAGAAAGGGACGGCUAACUACGUGCCAGCAGCCGCGGUAAUACGUAGGUCCCGAGCGUUGUCCGGAUUUAUUGGGCGUAAAGCGAGCGCAGGCGGUUUGAUAAGUCUGAAGUUAAAGGCUGUGGCUCAACCAUAGUUCGCUUUGGAAACUGUCAAACUUGAGUGCAGAAGGGGAGAGUGGAAUUCCAUGUGUAGCGGUGAAAUGCGUAGAUAUAUGGAGGAACACCGGUGGCGAAAGCGGCUCUCUGGUCUGUAACUGACGCUGAGGCUCGAAAGCGUGGGGAGCGAACAGGAUUAGAUACCCUGGUAGUCCACGCCGUAAACGAUGAGUGCUAGGUGUUGGAUCCUUUCCGAGAUUCAGUGCCGCAGCUAACGCAUUAAGCACUCCGCCUGGGGAGUACGACCGCAAGGUUGAAACUCAAAGGAAUUGACGGGGGCCCGCACAAGCGGUGGAGCAUGUGGUUUAAUUCGAAGCAACGCGAAGAACCUUACCAGGUCUUGACAUCCCGAUGCUAUUUCUAGAGAUAGAAAGUUACUUCGGUACAUCGGUGACAGGUGGUGCAUGGUUGUCGUCAGCUCGUGUCGUGAGAUGUUGGGUUAAGUCCCGCAACGAGCGCAACCCCUAUUGUUAGUUGCCAUCAUUCAGUUGGGCACUCUAGCGAGACUGCCGGUAAUAAACCGGAGGAAGGUGGGGAUGACGUCAAAUCAUCAUGCCCCUUAUGACCUGGGCUACACACGUGCUACAAUGGUUGGUACAACGAGUUGCGAGUCGGUGACGGCAAGCUAAUCUCUUAAAGCCAAUCUCAGUUCGGAUUGUAGGCUGCAACUCGCCUACAUGAAGUCGGAAUCGCUAGUAAUCGCGGAUCAGCACGCCGCGGUGAAUACGUUCCCGGGCCU
rnacentral:rRNA from 1 species